rnacentral:lncRNA from 1 species
GCACUGAGGGGAGGCUGUGCUAUCUUUUUUAUUUGUAGAAAUAUGUUUAUAUAAACUUGUUAUCACUUAUCAAUGGUCAUAUUUCGCCCGGGCUCUAGAAAGUCUCUAGGUAUGCAAAUGUCAGGCGGGACUGGUGUUGGCGAACUGUAGCACCAUGCACCCCGCCGCUUGGUGGUGCCAGAUGUGAAGUAGAUGAUGACGGCGGUGACGACGAUUAUUCCCAUGACAGAGACCAUGCCUUCGUGGUCAAAUUGAACAGACUUCUUGACGAUUUUCUUGUUCGGGAUUAGGGAAUCCAAUGUCGGG